CUUCAUGCUGCUCGUUAUGUUUUUUUCUGACUCCAAAAUCUGCUAGAGAACAGAGGGGGAUCAUGCUUGUUGCUUCUCAGAGAUAUUUUCAGCUAAGUCAGAGCAACCAGGCAUGAAAAAAAUUGCAGAAGCCUAAAGAGAAGAUUCAGACAGGAUUGAGGUCUUUGGUGGAUUCUCCCAUUCAUUCUGCUAAACAAGGCUUCUACUGCACAACAGAAGACAGAGCAAUAGAAGGCAAGAUCAUUGAGACUGAAAAACCAAGUAUCCAACCAUAUUUUUGAGUUUCCUCUUAUUGUUUUUCAUUAAAAAGACAACUCAUCCC
rnacentral:lncRNA from 11 species